UAUCAACUUUCGAUGGUAGUUUCUGC
rnacentral:sRNA from 1 species